UCCUGGCUAGGGCUUCACCCUCUGGCUUGUGCCCACGAACCUAGGUGAGGACAGGCACUCCUGCCUUUGGGCCCAAAUGUUGCAUUUUCCAAAACCACCCUGGCCCACCACACCCCCAUCCUGGGCGGAUAAAAACUGAGACCCUAGCAGGCAGAUAGAUACACAAGCGUCUGGACGUCCAGAGGAGGGGAUCAGCGGAAGAAGACACAAGCAGCCGGACAUCGAGAGGAUGUCGAGGGGAGCAUGCCAGUGGAAGAGCACAUGACAGACACUGGCAGGACAGCAGGCCAUUGACUGGAGGAACGAUGUGGAGUUUAGCGAGAUCAGGAGGAGGAGAGCACGGGCCGCUAAGCAGAGGGACCCCUGGUGCAUCUCCCAUCUGGCUCCCCCAUCUGCUGAGAACUACUUCUACUCAGUAAAACCUCGGACUCAUUCUCCAAGCCCUCGCGUGAUCUGGUUCUUCCGGUACACCACGGCAGGAAACCCUGGGAUACAGAAAUCCCUCCGUCCUUGUGGAUUUUAGAAUGCCAAGCUGACAUUUUGAGUUUUUAUGAGAAACCAGAAAAUUUGGUGUGAAGACCCUAAGUGGUGUGUCUGACUUACAGCAGGCCCACAGUACCUGUUAUUGAGUGAGAUAAGCAAAUGGUAUUUCAGGACCAAAACAUCUGUUUCCUGAAGAGUUGCUCCUUUAAUUGUGUAUCUACCUACCUGUCUAUGUAACUCUUGGUAAAUGAAUUAAUUUGUUAGUUAAAAUCAAUCUAUUAAUUCAUAAUGAAUGGGAUAUCUUGUGGGAGGUACAUGUGCUUUGCAAAUACAUGGAAAGACGAGACUUUCCUAACAGGUUCUGGAAUUCAGGUUGAUAUUACCUUUUUAAAAAUUUUUAAGGAUUAAUAGCUAAAAAGAUCAAGUCAGUUUCUUCAUUUCUCCUGAAGGCCUGUUUCCAUCAGAUUUUAUCUCUGCCUAGGCAAAUACAUUGGAGACUUCUCAACUUUCUGCUUCUGAUGAUCUCAACUUGUGGUAUGGCAAAAGGAGAGCAAAAUGUUCACCCAGAUGACAUCGUGAUCAACUCCUCUGAAUCACUCUAAAGGAACGAGAAGUCCUGGCAGCUGAGUCAUGAUCCCCCAGGAGCCAUUAAGAAGUUAAUCUUCAGUCACUUCCAUCCAAACAGAAGAAAACCCAUGAAGGAUGAGAACUAUGGGUCCUGAGAAUGACAGGUAAUUGGUGCCACUUUAUUCACAGAAUCCAAUAAAUAGUACUCUUUGAUUCACAUAUUUAAUGCUCAUUAUUGUACAUUUUUAUAAAGACAAGUUAGUCUAAAUUGCCAUUCAUCUCUUUCUUAUCAAAGUCCUACCCAACACAUGAUCAUAUCAUCAGAAAUCAGAUAUUUUCUUGUUGAAUGCCCUACCUAACUCAUUCAAUUGUAAUUUUCUGGGAAUGGUGACCAGAGAUUUGAUAUUUUUGGAAGUUACAUCAAAUCCUCAUUACUUUAUAAGUGAUUUAAAAUUUAUCACAUGGUACACUUUUCAUAUCUUUCAAAGGAUUAAUAUAUAAAAAAUAUAUAGUUAAUGCUCAGCUUUAAAGACAUUAAAGGACAGAGUUAUACAGAAAGAAAGAUCCAGAGAUCUUUCUUUAAUAAAGAUAUUAAAAUUGAAUCUGCUUAUUCAAGUAUAAUGAUAGAACAGAAAGAGAUCUUAAAAUUGUUUAAUCUCUUCCUUGGCUUUCAAAAAUAUAAAGUCUUCUUUAUUGGAGAUUUCUUUAUCCAUAGAAUAUCUUAAUUCCCCACUCCCCAACUUCCUCCCCAUGUGAAGUUUUAUCUGUCUUUAAAAUAUUUGUGUUGUCUUCUUCAGGAUAUAUCAUUGAUUGGCACUUUUUGAUUCUAGUUUUAUAUACUGUUAUCCUUGUAUAUUAAAGUAGGUCUCAAAUAUAUCUUUCAUGGUGGUGUGUAAGGUUCUGAGAGAGCUGGAAAAAAGGUAUAAGCUCCCUUCUAAAGUGCAAGUAUAUACUUGCAGAGAUAUUUUUUCACUUACAUUCUUGGAGAUCAUCCAUGGUCUCCCCAUGUCUUUUACAAAAGAGGUUUCCAGCACCUAUUAGGGAAGCUAGAUGGUCACUUGUAUCUUCCUUAUCUCUGUAUUAGAUGAUAAUAUCGAAUGCAGGUAAGUGGUGGUGGGGAGAGUAAUAUUGACAGAAUAGUUAUAUGGCAAACAUUGGCACCUCAGAAAUUUUUUGCUUUUUUGAGGGCUCUUAUUAAUAUUUGCAAACUUUAAAAAGCCUUGAAAAGAGUUUUAUCCAGAGCUCACCACAUAUAGAAAAACAGAUCUCUCUUGUUAUGGGAAUUGAGGCUAGUCCAAAUUCCCCCAGAUUAAACAUCUUUCCUCAUUUGGCACAUUCUUCAGCUGUUCCUUAAGAAAAAAUCAUACUAAGGAAAGUUAAUUCUGGGAAGUCUAGAAUUAGAAUAAAAUUAUUACACUAAAAGGAAAGCCCAGAUAUCUCUUUAAAAAUGCUUAAUUUUUUUGAAAACUCACAUCAGCACCAGAUCAUUUCUUUAAUGUGUACAGAUUUCCUUUCUUCAUUGACUAAAUAGCUUUGCUAAACGAGAUUAAAACCACAUAACUCAAAUGAGACAUAUAAGAUCUUGAAUAAUGUUCACAUAGCUACAACAUCAAAUUCCAGUGCUAAUAUAAAUUAUGUCUACUACGUUUUCAUUUAUUUGGGAUUAUCUGUUUGCCUCAAGUGGUGUAAAAAAAUUGAGCAGGAACCACCUGAAACUUCCUUUCACAACAAGAGAAAGUUGUAAUUUGUAUUUACUUUACCUAGCUUUCUUUAUAUGAAUGUAGCCAAGAAGCAGGGGAGGAAGGACAAUUACAGGAAAUUGUGAUAGGAAACUAUUAGGAAAAGCAAUUUGUAAUUUCUGCUAAAACUCUAGGUAAAUAACCCUGAGCAUUCAUAGUCUGGCAAGU
rnacentral:lncRNA from 1 species